AAUGAACGCUGGCGGCAGGCCUAACACAUGCAAGUCGAGCGAAGUCUUCGGACUUAGCGGCGGACGGGUGAGUAACGCGUGGGAACAUGCCCUUUGGUGCGGAAUAGCCCCGGGAAACUGGGAGUAAUACCGCAUGUGCCCUUCGGGGGAAAGAUUUAUCGCCAAAGGAUUGGCCCGCGUUGGAUUAGGUAGUUGGUGGGGUAAUGGCCUACCAAGCCGACGAUCCAUAGCUGGUUUGAGAGGAUGAUCAGCCACACUGGGACUGAGACACGGCCCAGACUCCUACGAGAGGCAGCAGUGGGGAAUCUUAGACAAUGGGCGCAAGCCUGAUCUAGCCAUGCCGCGUGAUCGAUGAAGGCCUUAGGGUUGUAAAGAUCUUUCAGUGGGGAAGAUAAUGACGGUACCCACAGAAGAAGCCCCGGCUAACUCCGUG
rnacentral:rRNA from 1 species